GACCACUUCGGUGGUGCUGGCGACCGGCGCACGGGUGAGUAUCGCGUUUGUAACCUACCCUUAACUGGGGGAUAGCCCGAAGAAAUUCGGAUUAAUACCCCAUUAAAUUUUAGCACGGCAUCGUGCUUCCAUUAAAGCUCCGGCGGUUAAGGAUGGGCAUGCGUGACAUUAGUUUGUUGGUGAGGUAACGGCUCACCAAGACUACGAUGUCUAGGGGGUCUGAGAGGAUGAUCCCCCACACUGGUACUGAGACACGGACCAGACUCCUACGGGAGGCAGCAGUGAGGAAUAUUGGGCAAUGGACGCAAGUCUGACCCAGCCAUGCCGCGUGCAGGAUGACGGCGCUAUGCGUUGUAAACUGCUUUUAUACAGGAAGAAACCCUCCUACGUGUAGGAGGUUGACGGUACUGUAAGAAUAAGCAUCGGCUAACUCCGUGCCAGCAGCCGCGGUAAUACGGAGGAUGCAAGCGUUAUCCGGAUUCAUUGGGUUUAAAGGGUGCGCAGGCGGGGCAAUAAGUCAGUGGUGAAAUCCUGCGGCUUAACCGUAGAACUGCCAUUGAUACUGUUGCC
rnacentral:rRNA from 1 species